rnacentral:rRNA from 1 species
UACGGAGGGAGCAAGCGUUACUCGGAAUUAUUGGGCGUAAAGGGCGCGUAGGCGAUCCUGUAAGUCUCGUGUGAAAUCCCAGGGCUUAACCCUGGAAUGGCAAGAGAAACUGCUGGAAUUGAGUUCCGGAGAGGAAGGCAGAAUUCCCGGUGUAGCGGUGAAAUGCGUAGAUAUCGUAAGGAAGACCAGUGGCGAAGGCGGGUCUCUGGACAGUUCCUGACGCUGAGGCACGAAGGUCAGGGGAGCAAACGGG